ensembl:lncRNA
GAAGGCGGUGCCUUAGUGCCUCCCUCCUUCUGACAUUGUAAAAGAACCCUAACUGUAUUUUUUUUUUUAAUAGUAAUAUAGAUGUAUAUGUGUGUUUUAUGUCCUCAGAUGAGGUUUGAAGUGUCUGUGUGGUGCAGCUGGCCUGGUCUGUCUCUAUACAGUCGAGGCUGCACCCACCUAUAAAAAGGUGGAGGCUCACCAAGACAUGCACACCUCACAAGUUCCUGGCUCUCUCGGCUCGGUUGAAGACGGGUUUCUUCGAGAAGGGGAGGGCAGUGAGGCACAGUCCCCCGCCCCCCGACGCCCCUCGCGAUGCCCCUCCUUCUUCGACUAACCCGCUGCAGAGGAGCCGUGGGAGCCAGGAACUUGUGAGUUUUGUAUGUCCACUCAGGCAUCAUUCAUACCUGGUCUGUAGGAAGUUCCUGUCAGAAGG